UCGUAGCGACUGCGGAGGACAUUAUCGAGUUUUGAACGGGUUGUAGCUGGCCUUUAACGAGGUAUGUGCACGCCUGGCUCAUCCACUCUCAACCUCUGUGCACUUUAUGUAAGAAACGGUGUAAGCCAGCUAUUUAUUAGUUGGUUAUAAGCCUUUCUUAUGUUCACUACAAACGCUUCAGUUAUAGAAUGUUUACUGUGUAUAACACAAUUAUAUACAACUUUCAGCAACGGAUCUCUUGGCUCUCGCAUCGAUGAAGAACGCAGCGAAAUGCGAUAAGUAAUGUGAAUUGCAGAAUUCAGUGAAUCAUCGAAUCUUUGAACGCACCUUGCACUCCUUGGUAUUCCGAGGAGUAUGCCUGUUUGAGUCUCAUGGAAUUCUCAACCCCUAAAUUUUGUAAUGAAGUUUAGUGGGCUUGGACUUGGAGGUUGUGUCGGCUUCUAGUCGACUCCUCUGAAAUGCAUUAGCGUGAAUCUUACGGAUCGCCUUCAGUGUGAUAAUUAUCUGCGCUGUGGUGUUGAAGUAUUUAUUAGUUCGUGCUUAUAAUCGUCUCUUACCGAGACAAUUUAUGACAAUCUGAGCUCAAAUCAGGUAGGACUACCCGCUGAACUUAAGCAUAUCAAUAAGCGGAGGAAUU
rnacentral:rRNA from 1 species